rnacentral:rRNA from 1 species
UACGGAGGGUGCAAGCGUUAUCCGGAUUCACUGGGUUUAAAGGGUGCGUAGGUGGGCAGGUAAGUCAGUGGUGAAAUCUCCGGGCUUAACCCGGAAACUGCCAUUGAUACUAUCAGUCUUGAAUAUCGUGGAGGUAAGCGGAAUAUGUCAUGUAGCGGUGAAAUGCUUAGAUAUGACAUAGAACACCAAUUGCGUAGGCAGCUUACUACACGAUCAUUGACGCUGAGGCACGAAAGCGUGGGGAGCAAACAGG